GUUUGAUCCUGGCUCAGGAUGAACGCUAGCUACAGGCUUAACACAUGCAAGUCGAGGGGCAGCAUGACCUAGCAAUAGGUUGAUGGCGACCGGCGCACGGGUGAGUAACACGUAUCCAACCUACCGGUUAUUCCGGGAUAGCCUUUCGAAAGAAAGAUUAAUACCGGAUAGUAUAACGAGAAGGCAUCUUUUUGUUAUUAAAGAAUUUCGAUAACCGAUGGGGAUGCGUUCCAUUAGUUUGUUGGCGGGGUAACGGCCCACCAAGACAUCGAUGGAUAGGGGUUCUGAGAGGAAGGUCCCCCACAUUGGAACUGAGACACGGUCCAAACUCCUACGGGAGGCAGCAGUGAGGAAUAUUGGUCAAUGGACGAGAGUCUGAACCAGCCAAGUAGCGUGAAGGAUGACUGCCCUAUGGGUUGUAAACUUCUUUUAUAAAGGAAUAAAGUCGGGUAUGCAUACCCGUUUGCAUGUACUUUAUGAAUAAGGAUCGGCUAACUCCGUGCCAGCAGCCGCGGUAAUACGGAGGAUCCGAGCGUUAUCCGGAUUUAUUGGGUUUAAAGGGAGCGUAGAUGGAUGUUUAAGUCAGUUGUGAAAGUUUGCGGCUCAACCGUAAAAUUGCAGUUGAUACUGGAUAUCUUGAGUGCAGUUGAGGCAGGCGGAAUUCGUGGUGUAGCGGUGAAAUGCUUAGAUAUCACGAAGAACUCCGAUUGCGAAGGCAGCCUGCUAAGCUGCAACUGACAUUGAGGCUCGAAAGUGUGGGUAUCAAACAGGAUUAGAUACCCUGGUAGUCCACACGGUAAACGAUGAAUACUCGCUGUUUGCGAUAUACUGCAAGCGGCCAAGCGAAAGCGUUAAGUAUUCCACCUGGGGAGUACGCCGGCAACGGU
rnacentral:rRNA from 1 species